rnacentral:rRNA from 1 species
GGAGGAAAAGAAACCAACUGGGAUUACCUUAGUAACGGCGAGUGAAGCGGUAAAAGCUCAAAUUUGAAAUCUGGUACUUUCAGUGCCCGAGUUGUAAUUUGUAGAAUUUGUCUUUGAUUAGGUCCUUGUCUAUGUUCCUUGGAACAGGACGUCAUAGAGGGUGAGAAUCCCGUUUGGCGAGGAUACCUUUUCUCUGUAAGACUUUUUCGAAGAGUCGAGUUGUUUGGGAAUGCAGCUCAAAGUGGGUGGUAAAUUCCAUCUAAAGCUAAAUAUUGGCGAGAGACCGAUAGCGAACAAGUACAGUGAUGGAAAGAUGAAAAGAACUUUGAAAAGAGAGUGAAAAAGUACGUGAAAUUGUUGAAAGGGAAGGGCAUUUGAUCAGACAUGGUGUUUUUUGCAUGCACUCGCCUCUCGUGGGCUNGGGCCUCUCAAAAAUUUCACUGGGCCAACAUCAAUUCUGGCAGCAGGAUAAAUCAUUAAGAAUGUAGCUACCUCGGUAGUGUUAUAGCUUAUUGGAAUACUGCUAGCUGGGAUUGAGGACUGCGCUUCGGCAAGGAUGUUGGCAUAAUGGUUAAAUGCCGCCCGUCUU